CUGUCAGAUUUGCUCUAAAUGCUUUCGUUUUUGAGAUAUAAGCCAAAAACUGCAUUUGACCCCUAUGUUCUAUUUUAAGUAACGGCGGCCAUGUUUUUUGACGGAUCAAAAAUCAAAGCACACACUUUGUGCAGGAUAAUCUAAGGAACAAUCAUGCUAAGUUUUAACCAAAUCCAUUCAGUAGUUUCAGAGGAGAAGAUUUUUUAAAGUUAGCAAAUAUGAUGAACAAAUUGUGAAAAAUUGUCAUUAAAGGACAAUAACCC
rnacentral:lncRNA from 1 species